GUGAGGAAUAUUGUGCAAUGGAGGCAACUCUGACGCAGCCAUGCCGCGUGCAGGAAGAAGGCGCUACGCGUUGUAAACUGCUUUUAACCGGGAAGAAACCCCAGGACGUGUCCUGGGUUGACGGUACCGGAGGAAUAAGCACCGGCUAACUUCGUGCCAGCAGCCGCGAUAAUACGAAGGGUGCAAGCGUUAUCCGGAUUCAUUGGGUUUAAAGGGUGCGUAGGCGGAGCGUUAAGUCAGUGGUGAAAUCCUGCAGCUUAACUGUAGACUUGCCAUUGAUACUGGCGCUCUUGAGUGCGCUUGAAGUGGGCGGAAUGUGCCGUGUAGCGGUGAAAUGCUUAGAUAUGGCACAGAACACCAAUUGCGAAGGCAGCUCACUAAGGCGAUACUGACGCUGAGGCACGAAAGCGUGGGGAUCGAACAGGAUUAGAAACCCGGGUAGUCC
rnacentral:rRNA from 1 species